GGCCCUAACACAUGCAAGUCGAACGGGAUCUUCGGAUCUAGUUGGCGGACGGGUUAGUAACGGAACGUACCCUUUUCUACGGAAUAGCCUCGGGAAACUGAGAGUAAUACCGUAUACGCCCUUCGGGGGAAAGAUUUAUCGGAGAAGGAUCGGCCCGCGUAAGAUUAGAUAGUUGGUGGGGUAAUGGCCUACCAAGUCUACGAUCUUUAGCUGGUUUGAGAGGAUGAUCAGCAACACUGGGACUGAGACACGGCCCAGACUCCUACGGGAGGCAGCAGUGGGGAAUCUUAGACAAUGGGGGAAACCCUGAUCUAGCCAUGCCGCGUGAGUGACGAAGGCCUUAGGGUCGUAAAGCUCUUUCGCUGGGGAAGAUAAUGACUGUACCCAGUAAAGAAACCCCCGGCUAACUCCGUGCCAGCAGCCGCGGUAAUACGGAGGGGGUUAGCGUUGUUCGGAAUUACUGGGCGUAAAGCGCGCGUAGCGGACUGGAACACGUUGGGGGUGAAAUUCCCGGGGCUCAACCCCCGGAACGGGCUCCAAACUAUCAGUCUACGAGUUCCGAGAGACGGUGAGUGGAAUUCCCGAGUGUAAAGGGUGAAAUUCGGUAAGGAUUAUUCCGGAAGGGAACACCCAGUGGGACGAAAGGCGGGUUCCACUGGAUUCGAUUACUGACAGCCUGAGGUGCGAAAAGCGUUGGGGGACGCAAAACCAGGAUUACAGAUUACCCCUGGGUAAGUCACCGCCGUAAAUUAAUUGCAAUAGACAAGGAUGCCCCUUGGUAGACACAUACCGAUUAGCAUUCCGCUGAGGAUA
rnacentral:rRNA from 1 species